CCAGCUCCCUGACUUGUAGUUGUUCGGUUUUUGCUGGGCAUCUUUCUGGGUUUGAUUUCCUGCUCCUCAUUUCCCAAGGACCCACGUCCAUUAAUGGCAAGAGAGUCUAGUGCAGGAUUUGCACUUGUACAGCUCAUCUCAUUGGGGAUUGACCUGAUGAUCCUGUUGUGCAGGAAAGGAAACUCAACCACAUGUCAGUUCAGUAACUUUCUGCCCAGCAUCUCAUGGAAAGUCUGCAGUACAAUAAGUAAACAGCUUCACUGCUCAUCUGGUAACAGUUUGACAUCGUGAAAGCUCCAUUGACCUAAUUCAGGAGAAAUUCAGAGUUAUCUGGAGCUUAUGAUAACUUUUAAGAUAACUUAAAGAGUUCUAAAAUAUCGGAACAUGGUCCCACAAAAUCUUGGUAAUAUGGUCCCACAGCAGACCGUGUCCUGCUCCAUUUAGUCCAUUUUUAUUGUUCUGCUGACAAUAGAUGACAACUCUUUUCUCCUGCAGCAGAAGCACAGGCAGAUCUGUUUCUGGGAAAAACAACCCUCAGGCUGUUCGAGGAUCAGUUGUGCCUUCCAGCACAGCAAGCCUCGAAAUAUAAAUGGACUGUUCCUGCCACCUGAUAACAAUGUGCCGUUGCAACAGGGUGGCCAAGAAAGGACUCUGCAUCCAGCACAUCUUCAAGAAUCACUCAGAAACCAAGAGAAUAUUUCCCUACCAGUUCAUGCUCCACUGAUUAUAAGGCUCAACAAUGCUGAAGAUGAACAGGACGAUGAAGAGGAUGAUGACAAAGAGAACUAUGUUUCUAAUUGGGUGCCUAAGACUGCUGCAGAAAUUGAAGAGGAAAGAACCAUAAAGGAAAUAUGCUAUAAAACUGGUAAAUACGAAAUCAGUCAGUCUUUCCUAAACAGCAAUGAAGACAAUAUACUAAGCCUUUUAUUUUAUUUUAUUUUAUUUUAUUUUAUUUUAUUUUAUUUUAUUUUAUUUUAUUUUAUUUUAUUUUAUUUUAUUUUAUUUUAUUUAUUUUAUUUUCCUUUUUGGCUGUGUUUAGGAGAGUAUUACAGGAUGCAGCACCCCCACAAACACCAAUCAACAGAAACUGUGUCUUCACCUCAGGAAAAGGAAAUAUUACUCUUGGAAGCUAUGGAGCGAGACUUACAGAAAGGCAAGUAAUAUCCAUCUUCUCAGACAAUAUUUACCAGUAAUAUUUACCAUUUAUUUUUCCCCACAUAUAUACACAUACAUAGUGUCUCAGACAUGGUGACUACCUGUAUUGAUUGUGGAUGCAAAGGGUAGAAAUGGGCUGUAAAACCUACGUGUGCUAUCUGGAGAUACACAACCAUUCCAUAAAUUGGAUCAGAUAGGAUUCAUAAAUAUCAUUCAUGCAAAGUGAGGAGUUAAAGAAUGAGCAGGUUAUUUGUAGCUCGUUCUUUACUUUGGAGCCGUAGCUUUGCUUUAACCUGUGUGUUAUAGAAUUGUCUUAGAGACCAUGAGAGUUGUACCUCAGUUACAGCAGACAGGAUCCAAACAUCCAAGAAAAUACAAAGAAGAAUAUAAGAGGAGAGGCUAAAGGAAAUUGCACUAAACUAAUCACUAUCUCACAGAGGCGGGAGGAAGAGAAUGGCAGUGCCAUUCCCUGUGCUCACACACCAGCCGCUCACACAUUCUUUCUGUUGCCUCUCCAGGGGAUGGUAAUACAAUUCCUACAACAUUUAAUAAUACAAAAAGAGGAGAGAGCUGGGAAAGGAGAAUACCAACAGAGCGUAUUCCCAGAACGGAUUAUACUAGUUUUAGGAUUAUACUGCAAAGAAAAAUUCCUCUAUGCUCAUUGAAAUUUAUGUUUUCCUGUUUAAUUUUGGGAAAGAAAUGGUUCUGUGGAGUAAGAAACAGAUAUGUCUAUAGUAUAAUACCCUUAGUCACCAGGUACAUCGACAUCGGAGGUGAAUCUGUUAUACGAAGUUUGAAUCUCCCGCCAUUCAUUGGUAUUUCUGCAAUGCUGUUUGUCACCUUAUCAGCAAUGCCCGUUCAGCUGUUAAAAUUAUGUGUGGGCCCAUGCUGUGAAUUGUAUCACUGAAGUGCCUUAGGAUUGAAGUAAUCCUUUUGUAAGCUGAAGUUAUUUUGUUACGCCACGUUGUUUUAGUUGUUGGGUUUGCAGGA